rnacentral:rRNA from 1 species
UGGGGAAUAUUGGACAAUGGGGGCAACCCUGAUCCAGCAAUACCGCGUGUGUGAAGAAGGCCUUCGGGUUGUAAAGCACUUUAGGCUGGGAAGAAGGUUAUUAGUUUAAGAGAUGAAUAACUUGACGGUACCAGCAGAAUAAGCACCGGCUAACUCUGUGCCAGCAGCCGCGGUAAUACAGAGGGUGCAAGCGUUAAUCGGAUUUACUGGGCGUAAAGGGCGCGUAGGUGGUUGUAUAAGUGAGAUGUGAAAUCCCCGGGCUUAACCUGGGACGUGCAUCUUAGACUGUAUAACUGGAGUGUAGUAGAGGGUAGUGGAAUUUCCGGUGUAGCGGUGAAAUGCGUAGAUAUCGGAAGGAACACCAGUGGCGAAGGCGGCUACCUGGACUAACACUGACACU